GCUGGAGCGUCUUUGACUGGCAGGCGCGAGAGGCAGUCACAGGAGCGGGGGAUCACGUGGUUGAAAGAGCAGAUGCUAACAGAUGUUCUUCAUUCAAACCCAGACAGGAUGAAGGUUCUGCCUUCAUCAUAACGGUGUUAUUAAGCACCAGCUUAAUAACACCGUCAUGGCCGCCUCAAACAGAGCAUAAGACAUAUGACUGAGAUGUGAAGACAUAAUCAUAACGUUCAAAUUUGUAUCCUAAAAAACACUGAAAUAAAACGAUUAGUUUAUGUUUCCA